rnacentral:lncRNA from 1 species
CGCGCAUGCGCAUUGACUUUUAGGAGAGAAGAAAGGAAAGAGUAAAGAGGAGGAGCGGCGUCAUGCGCUCGCCUUUCGUUCCCCGCCGCUCAUGCACGCGCGUGGACGCUGCGACGACUGCUUGGCGCGCCGGCGCACCUUGUGUUACGGUACUCGCGAGAAACCGGGCAUGCGCAGAGCGGCGCAGAUACGGCAAGGAACAGCCGGCUGGGCGCCCGAUGCGUCACCAGUCUCGCCAUUUUCGAAGGCUCUGCUAUCGGCGCUGGUUUGGAAUCCGUUGGGCCACGUAUUGUACUCCCGCUGCAGGUGGUGACCUGUGGAACCCAGAGGAGUACCUUCUUGCUGAUCGCCACGUGUUGGGAGCGGCUAGAGAACGUCACUACAUUAUUCUGCAUGUUAUUCACCAGUUAUUUUUCCUUUCACGUAUGUUAUGCUGAAAAUUGUAGUCUACUUUGGAAUUCGUUCAAAGGGCACUUUUGGUAUUAACCCAGACCAUGGAAGCAAGGCUGAGAAAAAAAGCAAGAAAAGAGAACCCAAAAAUAUUCAGUUUGACGAAAAAAUCAUGGAUUCUGAAUGGAAUGUUUACAUUUUUGAACACCUAAAAAAGUACAAGAUGGAUCAAGCUGCUACAAAGAGAUUAUGAUAAAGUUAUUUAUUGUGCCUGGAAUGGACAUAUGCCAAAUGCAGAAUCCAGGUGUGUGGAGAACUUUAAUAAAUAGCAGUAUUGCC